GACGAACGCUGGCGGCGUGCUUAACACAUGCAAGUCGAACGGAAAGGCCCUGCUUUUGUGGGGUGCUCGAGUGGCGAACGGGUGAGUAAUACGUGAGUAACCUGCCCUUGACUUUGGGAUAACUUCAGGAAACUGGGGCUAAUACCGGAUAGGAGCUCCUGCUGCAUGGUGGGGGUUGGAAAGUUUCGGCGGUUGGGGAUGGACUCGCGGCUUAUCAGCUUGUUGGUGGGGUAGUGGCUUACCAAGGCUUUGACGGGUAGCCGGCCUGAGAGGGUGACCGGCCACAUUGGGACUGCGAUACGGCCCAGACUCCUACGGGAGGCAGCAGUGGGGAAUAUUGCACAAUGGGCGGAAGCCUGAUGCAGCAACGCCGCGUGCGGGAUGACGGCCUUCGGGUUGUAAACCGCUUUCGCCUGUGACGAAGCGUGAGUGACGGUAAUGGGUAAAGAAGCACCGGCUAACUACGUG
rnacentral:rRNA from 1 species